CUUAACACAUGCAAGUCGAGGGGCAGCGGGGGUAGCGAUACCCGCCGGCGACCGGCGCACGGGUGAGUAACGCGUAUGCAACUUGCCUAUCAGAGGGGGAUAACCCGGCGAAAGUCGGACUAAUACCGCAUGAAGCAGGGGCCCCGCAUGGGGAUAUUUGCUAAAGAUUCAUCGCUGAUAGAUAGGCAUGCGUUCCAUUAGGCAGUUGGCGGGGUAACGGCCCACCAAACCGACGAUGGAUAGGGGUUCUGAGAGGAAGGUCCCCCACAUUGGUACUGAGACACGGACCAAACUCCUACGGGAGGCAGCAGUGAGGAAUAUUGGUCAAUGGCCGAGAGGCUGAACCAGCCAAGUCGCGUGAGGGAUGAAGGUUCUAUGGAUCGUAAACCUCUUUUAUAAGGGAAUAAAGUGCGGGACGUGUCCCGUUUUGUAUGUACCUUAUGAAUAAGGAUCGGCUAACUCCGUGCCAGCAGCCGCGGUAAUACGGAGGAUCCGAGCGUUAUCCGGAUUUAUUGGGUUUAAAGGGUGCGUAGGCGGCCUUUUAAGUCAGCGGUGAAAGUCUGUGGCUCAACCAUAGAAUUGCCGUUGAAACUGGGGGGCUUGAGUAUGUUUGAGGCAGGCGGAAUGCGUGGUGUAGCGGUGAAAUGCAUAGAUAUCACGCAGAACCCCGAUUGCGAAGGCAGCCUGCCAAGCCAUUACUGACGCUGAUGCACGAAAGCGUGGGGAUCAAACAGGAUUAGAUACCCUGGUAGUCCACGCAGUAAACGAUGAUCACUAGCUGUUUGCGAUACACUGUAAGCGGCACAGCGAAAGCGUUAAGUGAUCCACCUGGGGAGUACGCCGGCAACGGUGAAACUCAAAGGAAUUGACGGGGGCCCGCACAAGCGGAGGAACAUGUGGUUUAAUUCGAUGAUACGCGAGGAACCUUACCCGGGUUUGAACGCAUUCGGACCGAGGUGGAAACACCUUUUCUAGCAAUAGCCGUUUGCGAGGUGCUGCAUGGUUGUCGUCAGCUCGUGCCGUGAGGUGUCGGCUUAAGUGCCAUAACGAGCGCAACCCUUGCCACUAGUUACUAACAGGUAAAGCUGAGGACUCUGGUGGGACUGCCAGCGUAAGCUGCGAGGAAGGCGGGGAUGACGUCAAAUCAGCACGGCCCUUACAUCCGGGGCGACACACGUGUUACAAUGGCGUGGACAAAGGGAAGCCACCUGGCGACAGGGAGCGAAUCCCCAAACCACGUCUCAGUUCGGAUCGGAGUCUGCAACCCGACUCCGUGAAGCUGGAUUCGCUAGUAAUCGCGCAUCAGCCAUGGCGCGGUGAAUACGUUCCCGGGCCUUGUACACACCGCCCGUCAAGCCAUGGGAGCCGGGGGUACCUGAAGUCCGUAACCGCGAGGAUCGGCCUAGGGUAAAACUGGUGACUGGGGC
rnacentral:rRNA from 1 species